UACGUAGGGCGCAAGCGUUGUCCGGAAUUAUUGGGCGUAAAGAGCUCGUAGGCGGCUUGUCACGUCGGUUGUGAAAGCCCGGGGCUUAACCCCGGGUCUGCAGUCGAUACGGGCAGGCUAGAGUUCGGUAGGGGAGACUGGAAUUCCUGGUGUAGCGGUGAAAUGCGCAGAUAUCAGGAGGAACACCGGUGGCGAAGGCGGGUCUCUGGGCCGAUACUGACGCUGAGGAGCGAAAGCGUGGGGAGCAAACAGG
rnacentral:rRNA from 1 species